CGAAAAAUUAAAACACACAAAAGAAAGGGUGUAAAAGAGAAAGAAAAACCUAAAUCUAGGGGUCCUUAAAAAGAAUUGAACUAGACCUUGCUCCUAACUUUAAGGACCACCAAAAACUCGAUAAAUCCAAAAUUAUUCGGACCGGUCUGGCCAGUUUGGAGCAGGCAUUGCCAAGAGGCCAAUCUCCGCGCUUAGACACCAAACCUUAAUCGGCCAGGUAAGCUUUCGCUU
rnacentral:lncRNA from 1 species